AUGGCCGUACCUUUAAGAAACCUAGAUAAAAACACGACCACCUACCAGCAUAAUAAUAAUAAUAAUAAUAAUAAUAGUAGUAGUAGUAUUAUUAUUACUACUCCUAUUGCUAGUAAUAACAUCACCAACAAUAAAAAUGAUAUUAAGAGUAAUAUAAAUUGUCAAACAAUACAUAAUCCUAACGAAACAAAUUAUACAACCAAUCCCGCUUAUAAUANNNAUAAUUCCGCUUAUAAUAUAAAUAAUUCCGCUUAUAAUAUAAAUAAUCCCACUAAUAAUAAUAUAAAUUAUAGUAAAAAUAAUUCUACUGAUUUGAAUGAUGCUAACAAAUAUAGACCAAGAGAAGAUACAAAAUGUACAAUAAAUAGUAGUAAUACAUCUUUAGUAAAUUCAAAAAAAAAUGAUAUAUUAAAUAUGAAUGAUACAACUUUAAAUGGUAAUAUAUCAGAUAAUGUAAGUACAGCAAGUAUUGCUAAUAGUUCGACUACUCCAUUUAUUAGAAACACAAGUGGUACUACAUAUAGUACAGGAGUAGAUGGAAUAAAUAUAGAAGAGUUAUACGAAUCUGUUCAAAAUGAAAUAAUAAUUUAUAAAAAUACAAUUAUUCAAUUAAAAAUGGAAUUACAAUUAAAAAAUAGUUAUUUAGAAAAUGAAAAAAAAAAAAAUGAACAAUAUGAACAGUUAAUACAAAAAUAUAUAAAUAAUGAUAUAAAUAAUUAUAACAAUAAUAAUGGUAAUAAUAAUAUUGAUACAUCUUUAACAGUAUUAAAUGUGUCCAAAAUGGAAAUGAAACAAAUGAAACAAGAUUUGUUAUUAAAAAGUAGUGAAAUUAUAGAAUUAAAUCAUGUUAUUAAUAAUUUAAAAAAACAAAAAACAAUAGUUCAUACAAGUAUACAAAACGAAUUAGAAAUAAGAAUAAAAAAAGAAAUGGAAUGUAAUUUAUUAUUACAAGCACAAACAAAACGAUUAAAUAAUGCUAAUAAGUUUAUAGAAAAACAAAAUACAGAAAUAGUAGAAUUAAAAAAAGAAUUAGAAACAAAUAAAAAUGCAUAUGUUGAACAUAUACAACAAAAUGAAAAAACUAUGUUAGAAUUAUUAAAAGAAAAAAAAGAAUUUAUAAAAAUCGCUGAAAAAUUAGAUAUAAUCAAUAUUGAUAAUAAAAAUAAACAAAAAGAAAUUAAUAAAUAUAAAAAUAAAUGUAAUGAAUUAAAUGAAGAAUUAAAUGAAUUGUUAAAAAUUGUAUCUUUAGAUCAAGAAGAUCGAGAAAAAGGAUUAAAUAUAUUUUAUAAAAAUAAUUAUUUAUCAUUUAAUGAUGAUAAUAAUAAUAUGAAUGAUUCUUUUACUUCUUAUAAUUGCGAUUUACAAAAAAAAGGAAAACACAACAACAAUAACAGCAGUAAUAAUAACAACGACAGUAAUAACUACGUUAAUAAUAACAAUCUUACACAUAUAAUGACCGAAACGUAUGAUAACAACCAAUUUAAUAAUAAUAAUAAUAAUUCUGUUUUACGAAGUAGUACAAUUAUGAGUGAAGAAGCGAUUGUAUUAAAAAAACAAAUAAACAAAUUAUUAAGUGAAAAAGAGUUACUAGAAAAAAAAUUAAAUGAAGUAAUACAAAUAAAUUCAACACUAGUACAAGAAGUAAAAGAAAAAAGUAAAUUAAUAUUGGAACAAAAUGAAAAUUAUUCUAAAUUAUUAGACAAAUAUAAUAUACUUGAAAAAGAUUUUGAAAAUAUACAUAACUUAUGUAUACAAUUAGAAGAAAAAUUUAAAGAAGGUUUUAGUAAUAGUUAUUUAAAUACAAAAAGUAUUAAUUUACUAAAUAAAAGUAAUUUUUCUUUAAGUGAAUUGCAAUUAUAUGAUAAUAAUAAUAAUGAAAAUAAUAAUGAAAAUAAUAAAACUGAUGAAAAUAUGUUAUCAAAUAGUGCUCAUAAUGUUGGCUAUUAUAAAAUUUAUUGUUCUGAACUGAAAUUAGAAAAUGACUCAUUAAAAAAUACGAUACAAAAAUUAAAAAUUAAAAAUAAAACUUUAUCUGAAAAUAUGGAAGCUUUACUGAAUGAUUUGAUGGAGGCAUCUGUAGAAGCGGAAGGAGAGGAAGGAGCUGGCAGUGGUGAUGGUGAUGAAGAUGGUGAUGGAGAUAGAGAUGGUGAU
rnacentral:lncRNA from 1 species